rnacentral:lncRNA from 1 species
CGGAAGCGCGCGGACUGGUGGAGCCAGGUCCGCCCCGGCGAGCCGCUCCCAGGACCAGCUUGGCCAGUAGAGCUAAUUCUGGUGGUUGGCAUUGACUCAGCGCGGGUGAGGUGUUCUUCCUGCAAAGCUUCAUCAUUUUCCUGAACCAGCUCCACCCAGUGUUAAUAGCAUCUUCCCAGACUGAAUCAUCAAAUCCUGGCUGCUCAGACUAUCUCUCUCCAACAGCGUCUGGUGGGAUGGAUAAAUAGAUGAGUGAGCCGUUUUUCCCAGGAAGUCAAGCUCCAGAAGUCAAGGAAAAGAAGGAGCUUUGGCCUCACAAGGCCAAAAGCAGACCGAGGAAGGAAACUAACCAGAAAAGUUCAGACAGUCAAAGAAAGAAAAGAUUCAAUCUUCAAGACCACACACAGGCUGAAGACAGCAGCCAGCGAGGCCACAUGCUCCUCCUCCCCGACCUUAAACCCCAGCACAAGCUCCCCGUCCCCCACCUCAAGCCACAGGGAAAACCCUAACUUUUCCCCUUUGAGAGGUAGAGUUGAGUUUAACUGCUGUCUCCUUGUCUAGAUGCCUUUCCACGAUAAACCUCUUUCCUUGCCACAAGCCUCAGUUAAUUGGUCCCCCUGCAUGUCGGGUAAGGGACCCUUGUCUGUGUUCGAUAACAGGAUUAGGACCUGAUAUCUUUGGGGACCACUGCCCAGCCUACCACACUUCCCCUGUCUGAGCCUCAGUUGUUUCAUCUGUGCGAAGAAGAUAGUGAGAACUCCCUCUCAGGGCCGCUGUGAGGUUUCAGUGGGUUAAUGCAAAUCAGGCCUUUGGCGUGCUGGCAGGCAGGCAGGCAGGCAGCUUUCGAUGAAUGGUGUGGUUAUUAUGAAUUGAUUUCUUGAGUUAUUUCUACCCAGGACUGGCAAUUGUGGGGGUAAUUGAUUCCAGUGAUGUCACCUCUCCGACUGCCAGGUUUUCAGCAGGAUUAAAUGUGCCAAAUGGGCUUUGUUGAGCCAACUCCUCUGGGUGUGAAGAGCCGCCAUGCCAACCCGCCUUGCUGUUUCACAAAGGCCCGUCUGCCGCUUCUCCCUAAUUAGCGCCAAGGCGACACCCGCCAGCAGGCCCACUUGCUGCCAUCCCAGGAAAACAGCGCAGCACACUACAGCUAAAUAUUUGAACGUUUUUUUCAGUGACUGGAUGAAAAUAGUAUUUUGGGCAUUUAAACAGCACAGAGGAGAGAAGAGGAAGAAAGGCCACUUCAUCCUUGUAACCAUAUGGGCAGCCUCAGGGACCAAGAGGGCCCAGCCUUUGGCGUCUGACGUGGAAAAAAUGCUCUAAGGAAACCCAACUGUGUCACCGACCUAGGGCAAUGUCACAGUAAACUACCAUCGUUAUGAAACGGGAGAAUAUAAAAAUCGAAAGCUGGCUGCUUCAUUCCAUUCAGUUCUAGAAUCACUUCUUAAGCUGCUCCCUCACAUCAAGCUUUGCCAGGCAC